rnacentral:rRNA from 1 species
UGACAGUACUCCUACGGGGAGGCAGCAGUGGGGGAAUAUUGCACAAUGGGCGCAAGCCUGAUGCAGCCAUGCCGCGUGUAUGAAGAAGGCCUUCGGGUUGUAAAGUACUUUCAGCAGUGAGGAAGGUGGGGUAUGUUAAUAGCAUAUUCAUUUGACGUUAGCUGCAGAAGAAGCACCGGCUAACUCCGUGCCAGCAGCCGCGGUAAUACGGAGGGUGCGAGCGUUAAUCGGAAUUACUGGGCGUAAAGCGCAUGCAGGUGGUUUGUUAAGUCAGAUGUGAAAGCCCGGGGCGUCAACCUCGGAAUUGCAUUUGAAACUGGCAAACUAGAGUACUGUAGAGGGGGGUAGGAAUUUCAGGUGUAGCGGUGAAAUGCGUAGAGAUCUGAAGGAAUACCGGUGGCGAAGGCGGCCCCCUGGACAGAUACUGACACUCAGAUGCGAAAGCGUGGGGAGCAAACAGGAUUAGAUACCCUGGUAG